CAUUUGGAGACGCCCUCCCCAGGCAAAUCAUUGCCCAUAACAGACACAGGUUUAAGAUCAUUCCUUUCCUGUGAUUGGCUACCUGGACUGAACAGAGCUUUAACAUCUUCCCCAAUCAAAAGAUCCUUAGGCAAUAACUUCCUUACACCAGCUAUAUAACUUCAUGCUUCGUACCAUUCCAUUCAAGGUGGAUUCUGGCUAAAGGCACACGGACAGUAAACUCAUAGAGGACAUCAACAUUCGCACUAGGAUUUGGUAAGUGAUCUUCCUCUUUGACAAGAUCUGCUUUAACAAGAGUGACGUUAGAAGCCAUAAUUUGCCCUAAACAGCUUUUACCAUUGACUUUUACACUCUCUCUGAUUUUUUCAUUAACACUCCCAUACAGAGCACUGGCCCAAUGUAUGGGGUCACCUUCUACUGAACUCACAGUAACGGCAUUUACAUAAAAGGUGGCAGCGCUGGGGUACAUUUCGUUACACCCAGACAAUUGCUCAGCGUUAUACAACAUACCAACAUUGUUAUCAACUGGACUUUCAGGAGGAUACACUUUCUGCUGUUCUUCCCUUGCUUUUUGGACGUGGAGCUGAAGUCAGACCGUGUCCUGUUGCAUCUGCCAUCGAAGAUCUGCGAGCUUCUGUUCAUGCUCAAGUUACAGUUUAUUUGCUGCCAUUUGCAUUCAAACUUUUUCUGCAUCUUCUGUAGCCUCAGGAAGCCUCUUCUGCUCCCGAGCGUGGAAUCUCCGGGGACUCGGGAUCUAGGGAUCUGCUCCCAACACUCCUGCAAGGUCAGCAGGUCUUCCUGAGCAGCGCUGCACCCCCGCUGGGUAGGUACCGCGCUGGACAAGGGGACGAGGGUGACGGGAUCACUGCAGUGCGAGCUGCUCUGGGUGUGGAUCUGGGGGAGGGGGAGAGGCUGAUCCACAAACACCUGCCGUCCCCUUCCAGAUGGGAUCGCAGCCCGUUAG